UUAGUAAUAAGAUAUGUUAAUAUUUCGAUGUUAAUAGGACAUCUAUAGCAUAUGGAAGUCUAUAAAAAUGGCCACAUUACAAAAUAACACAUUUCGAAAAUUUUUCUUCAGACCAGUUUCAUAUUUUAGAAACAAAAUCCAUCAAUUUACCAUGAGUGAAUGACCACAAUGAAGCAGUGUUUCAUACUUAACUAAAUCUAGGAUAAAAUCGUCUGAUACAUCACCUCAUAUCUAUUUCAAUACUGAAUCUAAUGAACCAACAAUUUCUCAUCUGAUCAUCUGAUUUUCAAAAAUAUCUCUAACAUUUUAAGUUUAUGUCAAAAAGCAAUAAAAAGAAGUUUCACCAACGAUCGAAUGAAUUAAAGUCAGAAGAAACAUUUAUGAGUAGAGACAUAAAACAAGAAAAACUGGACUCCUUUUUAGAGAGGAAAUAACCAAAUUAAAUUUUGCACUUGAAUCGGCCAAAACGAGACUUUCCAUUCAAAACGAAUUGGAUGCCGGGAAAGAUGUUAAAACAACAUCUUUAGAUCGGUAUUUUAAACAAGUAUUCAAAAUAGUAUAUUUUAGCUCGGAUAUAGCUGAAAAUAUUGGCAAAGGUUCAUACGGGAUGGUUAUAUUGCACAAUAUAAUACUAGGCUUUGGACAUACAACUUGCUCGAAUAUGAUGUCAUAUGUUGGCGCUAUGUUUCGUGAUUUGUUUAACAAAAUUAUCGCCUAAACUUCAUUUAAAAAUUCAACGGAAACAGAAAACAAAUCCAUUUAAUUGAUGAAUUCAUCAUUGUUCAAACAAUUUCCGAAUGAAACACAAAACAAUUUCAA